rnacentral:rRNA from 1 species
CCUACGGGAGGCAGCAGUGGGGAAUUUUGGACAAUGGGCGAAAGCCUGAUCCAGCCAUUCCGCGUGAGUGAAGAAGGCCUUCGGGUUGUAAAGCUCUUUCGCAAGGAAAGAAAACUUAUCUCCUAAUACGGGGUGAGGAUGACGGUACCUUGAUAAGAAGCACCGGCUAACUACGUGCCAGCAGCCGCGGUAAUACGUAGGGUGCGAGCGUUAAUCGGAAUUACUGGGCGUAAAGCGUGCGCAGGCUGUUUUGUAAGUCAGAUGUGAAAUCCCUGGGCUCAACCUAGGAACUGCGUUUGAAACUACAAGGCUAGAGUGUAGCAGAGGGGGGUAGAAUUCCACGUGUAGCAGUGAAAUGCGUAGAGAUGUGGAGGAAUACCAAUGGCGAAGGCAGCCCCCUGGGUUAACACUGACGCUCAUGCACGAAAGCGUGGGGAGCAAACAGGAUUAGAUACCCUGGUAGUCCACGCCCUAAACGAUGUCUACUAGUUGUUGGGAGAGUAAAAUCUCUUAGUAACGCAGCUAACGCGUGAAGUAGACCGCCUGGGGGAGGUACGGUCGCGAAGUAAGUUAAACGUUAAAGUUAAAGUUAGUUAGGUUCGUGAGAGNGCGACGGACGACGACGAGGGAGGAGG